GGUGGGCUGAGGAGGGAGGAGAUGGAACGAGAAGCAAGCUGGGGAUCAAGGGUCGUGACGGCGCCUGGCCUGAGCCAGCUCUCACCUUCCCUCUCAGGUGCAGUAUGGGGGGGGUCCUUCCUGCGUCCCCAGAGAAGGAUGCUAGCAGUGGGGGCGGGGGGGGUGUCAGCAGACACCCACCACCCGGGAAAAGAUUCACACUCCGAGGACAGAUUCCCUGCACCAUCCGCUCCCCCCCCCCCCCCCCGCCCCAGCCCCUUAUCCUUGAAUGGAGAAGCAGGACCAGGGCUCAGCACCCGCCAGCGAGAUUCGCCCUCUCUGCUCCCGCUGCACAGAGAACCGUCCUGCACAGGUAGGGAGAACCUCCUGGGGGACACAAGGAAAGCUCCGUGGAGGAAGUCACGCUUCAGCAUGGUCUUAAGGAGGCACAGAGAGAUUGCUGUGUCAUCACCGGAGUCUGCGACAGGAUCUGGCAUGGAACAGACCCGGAGUCUCCUCAAAAGAUGACAACUCUCAAGGGGACAGAGCAGCCACAGACUGGGAGAAAGUGUCUGCAAAAGACACAUCUGCUGAAACACCGUCAUCCAAAUUACACAAACAACUCUUAAAACUCAACCGCAGGAAAACUAACAACCCAAUUAAAAAACGGGCCAAAGACCUCAACAGACACCUCACCGAAGGAGACAGACAGAGGGCAGACGAGCACACGAAAAGAUGCUCCACGUCCUACGUCUUCAGGGAACCGCGAAUGCAAGCAACAGGGAGGUACCGGUACACGCCCAUGAGAACGCCCAAGACUCGGAACCGGGGCAGCACCAAAUGCCGGUGGGGAUGUCAUCGUCGCUGGUGGGAAAGCAAAAUGGCACAGCCACCCUGGAAGCCAGUUUGGCAGCUUCUUACUAAACGAAACAUACUCUUAGCAUGUGAUCCAGCAAAAGGGUUCCUGGGUGUUUAGCUGGAGGAGUUGAAAACUUAGGUCCGACAAAAACCUGCACGUGAUGUUGAGAGCAGCUUUAUUCAUCAUCACCAAAAUGUGGAAGCGACCAAGGUGCCCUUCGGUAGGUGAAUGGAUAAAUAAACGGUGGUCCAUCCAGACAAUGGACUAUUAUUCAUUUCUCAUUUAAGAAAUGAGCUAUUAAUUGGGCGCCUGGGUGGCUCAGUCGGUUAAGCGUCCGACUUCGGCUCAGGUCACGGUCUUGCGGUCCGUGGGUUCGAGCCCUGCAUCAGGCUCUGUGCUGACAGCUCGGAGCCUGGAGCCUGCUCUGGAUUCUGUGUCUCCCUCUCUCUCCGCCCCUCCCCCACUCACGCUCUGUCUCUCUCUGUCUCUCAAAAAUAAAUAGAUGUUAAAAAAAAAUUUUCAGAAAUGAGCUAUCAAACCAUGAAAAGCCACGGAGGAACCUUAACUGUAUUAUCGCGCAGGGAAAGAAGCCGGUCUGAAAAGGCUACAGACUGUAUGAUUCUAUCUGUAUGACAUUCUGGAAAAGGCAGAACUAUGGAGACAGUAAAAAGAUCAAUGGUUGCCCGGCGGGGAGGGAGAGAGAGGGAUGAAGAGGAGGAGCACAGAGGAUUUGGAGGGGAAACUACCCCGUACGACAUUGUAAUGGUGGACAAGUGCAAUUAUACAUUUGUCCAAACCCACGGAAUGUGCAAGAGUGACUGUGAACUUUAAUGUAAACCACGGCCUCUGGGUGAUAAUGACGUGUCCACGGAGGUUCAUCGAUUGGAAUCAAUGCACUCUCUGACGUGGGAUGACAGUGAGGGAGGCUGUGCAUGGGUGGGGGGCACGGGGUACAGGGGAAAUCUCUGUACUUUCUGCUCAAUUUUCAAGUGAGCCCGA